AUGAACGCUGGCGGCAUGCCUUACACAUGCAAGGUCGAACGGCAGCACGGGAGCAAUCCUGGUGGCGAGUGGCGAACGGGUGAGUAAUAUAUCGGAACGUGCCCAGUCGUGGGGGAUAACGUAGCGAAAGCUACGCUAAUACCGCAUACGAUCUAUGGAUGAAAGCGGGGGAUCGCAAGACCUCGCGCGAUUGGAGCGGCCGAUAUCAGAUUAGGUAGUUGGUGAGGUAAAGGCUCACCAAGCCGACGAUCUGUAGCUGGUCUGAGAGGACGACCAGCCACACUGGGACUGAGACACGGCCCAGACUCCUACGGGAGGCAGCAGUGGGGAAUUUUGGACAAUGGGCGCAAGCCUGAUCCAGCAAUGCCGCGUGCAGGAUGAAGGCCUUCGGGUUGUAAACUGCUUUUGUACGGAACGAAACGGUGAGCUCUAAUACAGUUUGCUAAUGACGGUACCGUAAGAAUAAGCACCGGCUAACUACGUG
rnacentral:rRNA from 1 species